rnacentral:rRNA from 1 species
CCUACGGGAGGCAGCAGUGGGGAAUUGUUCGCAAUGGGCGCAAGCCUGACGACGCAACGCCGCGUGGAGGAUGAAGGUCUUCGGAUUGUAAACUCCUGUUGAUCGGGACGAAAAGCUUUGACCUAACACGUCAGAGGCUGACGGUACCGGUUGAGGAAGCCACGGCUAACUCUGUGCCAGCAGCCGCGGUAAUACAGAGGUGGCAAGCGUUGUUCGGAAUUACUGGGCGUAAAGGGCGCGUAGGCGGCCUUCUAAGUCGGACGUGAAAGCCCCAGGCUUAACCUGGGAACUGCGUCCGAUACUGGAAGGCUUGGAUUCGGGAGAGGGAUGUGGAAUUCCAGGUGUAGCGGUGAAAUGCGUAGAUAUCUGGAGGAACACCGGUGGCGAAGGCGGCAUCCUGGACCGAGAUCAACGCUGAGGCACGAAAGCUAGGGGAGCAAACGGGAUUAGAUACCCCGGUAGUCCUAGCCCUAAACGAUGAGUGCUUGGUGUGGCGGGUAUCGAUCCCUGCCGUGCCGAAGCUAACGCAUUAAGCACUCCGCCUGGGGAGUACGGUCGCAAGGCUGAAACUCAAAUGAAUUGACGG